rnacentral:rRNA from 1 species
AGAGUUUGAUCCUGGCUCAGAACGAACGCUGGCGGCGCGUCUUAAGCAUGCAAGUCGGACGGCAAGGGUAGCAAUACCCCUAGAGUGGCGGACUGGUGAGUAACGCGUGGGUGACCUACCCUCGAGAUGGGGAUAGCCAUUAGAAAUAGUGGAUAAUACCGAAUACGCUCGCGACCCUGUGGGGAUGCGAGGAAAUCAGGCUACGGCCUGGCUCGAGGAUGGGCCCGCGUCCCAUUAGCUAGUUGGUGAGGUAACGGCCCACCAAGGCGACGAUGGGUAUCCGGCCUGAGAGGGUGUACGGACACAUUGGGACUGAGAUACGGCCCAAACUCCUACGGGAGGCAGCAGCUAAGAAUAUUCCGCAAUGGACGAAAGUCUGACGGAGCGACGCCGCGUGGAUGAAGAAGGCCGAAAGGUUGUAAAAUCCUUUUGCCGAUGAAGAAUAAGUGUGGUAGGGAAUGACCGCAUGAUGACAUUAGUCGGUGAAUAAGCCCCGGCUAACUACGUGCCAGCAGCCGCGGUAACACGUAGGGGGCGAGCGUUGUUCGGAAUUAUUGGGCGUAAAGGGCAUGUAGGCGGUUUUGUAAGCCUGGUGUGAAAUCCUGCAGCUUAACUGUAGAAUUGCAUUGGGUACUGCGAGACUUGAAUCACAGAGGGGAAACUAGAAUUCCAGGUGUAGGGGUGGAAUCUGUAGAUAUCUGGAAGAAUACCGGUGGCGAAGGCGGGUUUCUAGCUGAUGAUUGACGCUGAGGUGCGAAAGUGCGGGGAGCAAACAGGAUUAGAUACCCUGGUAGUCCGCACCGUAAACUAUGUACACUAGGUGUAGGGGCAUGAGUCUCUGUGCCAAAGCUAACGUGAUAAGUGUACCGCCUGGGAAGUAUGCCCGCAAGGGUGAAACUCAAAGGAAUUGACGGGGGCCCGCACAAGCGGUGGAGCAUGUGGUUUAAUUCGAUGGUACGCGAGGAACCUUACCUGGGUUUGACAUCAAGUGGAAUGGUAUAGAGAUAUAU